CCUACGGGUGGCAGCAGUGGGGAAUAUUGGACAAUGGGGGAAACCCUGAUCCAGCGAAGCCGCGUGAGCGAAGAAGUCUUUAGGUAUGUAAAGCUCUAUCAGCAGGGAAGAAAAUGACGGUACCUGAGUCAGAAGCUCCGGCUAAAUACGUGCCAGCAGCCGCGGUAAUACGUAUGGAGCAAGCGUUAUCCGGAUUUACUGGGCGUAAGGGGAGCGUAGGUGGCCUGCCAAGUCUGAUGUGAAAUACCGGGGCUCAACCCCGGGGCUGCAUUUGAAACUGGCAGGCUGGAGUGCAGGAGAGGCAGGCGGAAUUCGUAGUGUAGCGGUGAAAUGCGUAGAUAUUAGGAGGAACACCAGUGGCGAAGGCGGCCUGCUGGACGGUGACUGACGCUGAGGCUCGAAAGCGUGGGGAGCAAACAGGAUUAGAUACCCUAGUAGUC
rnacentral:rRNA from 1 species